rnacentral:misc_RNA from 1 species
GAAAUCCAUUCCAUAAAUACCAGUGGAGGGAUCAUACUUAAUCCCGAGAUCAAUAUGCUCCUGGAUUCCAAACCCAAAGCAACCAGUAUCACUGAAGUUCCUCCUCAGCAACUCAUACUCCUUCACCUUCAACCCACUCUCCAGUAGCUGCAUCGCCUUCUCACCUCUCACAGUAACAUAGCAAGCAAUCUUCUCAUUCCUCCGGAUCCCAAAAGACCGCACAGUGUACCUCGCCUUCGAGAACACCGGCGUCUGUCCACUCAGCUGCUCCAAAACCUUAGAGGCCCUGGUGAGGCGAUCGCCGCUCUCGCCAACGGAGAUGUUGAGGACGAGCUUCUGGACCUUUAUCUCCCGCAUCGGAUUGGACAGCUUCUUCUCCGAGGCCAUGGCGAUCAGAGAGUUCACG